rfam:Aedes aegypti strain Liverpool supercont1.322 genomic scaffold, whole genome shotgun sequence.
UGUUCAGUAACUCCUAUCCCUACCUCCCCGUGGUGCCGCCUGGGGUACGAGUAACUGUAGGGAAGA